rnacentral:rRNA from 1 species
GACGAACGCUGGCGGCGUGCUUAACACAUGCAAGUCGAACGGAAAGGCCCUGCUUUUGUGGGGUGCUCGAGUGGCGAACGGGUGAGUAACACGUGAGUAACCUGCCCUUGACUUUGGGAUAACUUCAGGAAACUGGGGCUACUACCGGAUAGGAGCUCCUGCUGCAUGGUGGGGGUUGGAAAGUUUCGGCGGUUGGGGAUGGACUCGCGGCUUAUCAGCUUGUUGGUGGGGUAGUGGCUUACCAAGGCUUUGACGGGUAGCCGGCCUGAGAGGGUGACCGGCCACAUGGGGACUGAGGUACGGCGCAGACGCCUACGGGAGGCAGCAGUGGGGAAUAUUGCACAAUGGGCGGGAGCCUGAUGCAGCAACGCCGCGUGCGGGAAGACGGCCUUCGGGUUGUGAACCGCUUUCGCCUGUGACGAAGCGUGAGUGACGGUAAUGGGUAAAGAAGCACCGGCUAACUACGUG